UACCCGGUGGUGAAAUUGGUAUCACAACAGGUUUUGGUCCUGUUUUUCCAGGUUCGAGUCCUGGCCGGGUAG
rnacentral:tRNA from 1 species